CCUACGGGAGGCAGCAGUGGGGAAUUUUGGACAAUGGGCGAAAGCCUGAUCCAGCAAUGCCGCGUGAGUGAAGAAGGCCUUCGGGUUGUAAAGCUCUUUUGUCAGGGAAGAAACGGUGAGGGCUAAUAUCCCUUGCUAAUGACGGUACCUGAAGAAUAAGCACCGGCUAACUACGUGCCAGCAGCCGCGGUAAUACGUAGGGUGCAAGCGUUAAUCGGAAUUACUGGGCGUAAAGCGUGCGCAGGCGGUUUUGUAAGUCUGUCGUGAAAUCCCCGGGCUCAACCUGGGAAUUGCGAUGGAGACUGCAAGGCUAGAAUCUGGCAGAGGGGGGUAGAAUUCCACGUGUAGCAGUGAAAUGCGUAGAGAUGUGGAGGAACACCGAUGGCGAAGGCAGCCCCCUGGGUCAAGAUUGACGCUCAUGCACGAAAGCGUGGGGAGCAAACAGGAUUAGAUACCCUGGUAGUCCACGCCCUAAACGAUGUCUACUAGUUGUCGGGUUUUAAUUAACUUGGUAACGCAGCUAACGCGUGAAGUAGACCGCCUGGGGAUACGGUCGCAAGNUUAAAACGCGAAAGAUGACGNNGAGAGNGCGAGACGACGACGAGGGAGGAGG
rnacentral:rRNA from 1 species